rnacentral:sRNA from 1 species
ACGACGGACUGCGUAUCCUCUGAUUCUUCUCGACAACCUCCGCGGCAUCAUCAGGGACUUGAGAGUCAGGGGGCUGCCGUUUCGGGGCGCAGCGGAUCUUAUCAUUUACUACUCCGUACAUGUAGGCGUGUCCAAUACUAUUCUGCGUUACAAGGAAGAAAGGUUGGCACAUCCCCUUGACUCCUUUGCGCACCGUCGAAGCGGGUAGCCUAUCAGCCCAUCUUUAAGGGCGAAGUGUGGACGUUGUGGAUCCCCCAGUUCCACAGUCACAGCCACAGCCACAGACCAGUUGGAGUGGUCUAAGAAUGAUACGCGCAUGAAACAGAGUGCGACUCAGGAUCCGGAGAAAUUUACUGCUUAAUGAUUGGAGACCCCUAUUUCUCGUCGAGUGGCACCCAAACGGCCAGCAACGACUUGAAGCGUCACCCGAGCCGGGGGCUUGUUAAACCACUACUCCGUACGCAGUACGGAGUACAUCUGUAGUUACUGGCGCAUUUAUGUGCAAGAUCAACCACAGUAC